rnacentral:rRNA from 1 species
AAGCCGGAAUCGCUAGUAAUCGCGGAUCAGAACGCCGCGGUGAAUACGUUCCCGGGUCUUGUACACACCGCCCGUCACACCACGAGAGUUUGUAACACCCGAAGCCGGUGAGGUAACCUUUUAGGAGCCAGCCGUCUAAGGUGGGAUAGAUAAUUGGGGUGAAGUCGUAACAAGGUAGCCGUAUCGGAAGGUGCGGCUGGAUCACCUCCUUU